rnacentral:rRNA from 1 species
UACGAGGGGUGCGAGCGUUGUUCGGAAUUAUUGGGCGUAAAGGGUGCGUAGGCGGUUUGGUAAGUCUGAUGUGAAAUCCCCAGGCUUAACCUGGGAACUGCAUUCGAGACUGCAUAGCUAGAGUAUGGGAGAGGGAAGUGGAAUUUCAGGUGUAGCGGUGAAAUGCGUAGAUAUCUGAAGGAACAUCAGUGGCGAAAGCGACUUCCUGGACCAAUACUGACGCUCAUGUGCGAAAGCGUGGGGAGCAAACAGG